rnacentral:rRNA from 1 species
AGAGUUUGAUCCUGGCUCAGGAUGAACGCUAGCUACAGGCUUAACACAUGCAAGUCGAGGGGCAGCAUGGUCUUAGCUUGCUAAGGCCGAUGGCGACCGGCGCACGGGUGAGUAACACGUAUCCAACCUGCCGUCUACUCUUGGACAGCCUUCUGAAAGGAAGAUUAAUACAAGAUGGCAUCAUGAGUCCGCAUGUUCACAUGAUUAAAGGUAUUCCGGUAGACGAUGGGGAUGCGUUCCAUUAGAUAGUAGGCGGGGUAACGGCCCACCUAGUCUUCGAUGGAUAGGGGUUCUGAGAGGAAGGUCCCCCACAUUGGAACUGAGACACGGUCCAAACUCCUACGGGAGGCAGCAGUGAGGAAUAUUGGUCAAUGGGCGAGAGCCUGAACCAGCCAAGUAGCGUGAAGGAUGACUGCCCUAUGGGUUGUAAACUUCUUUUAUAAAGGAAUAAAGUCGGGUAUGCAUACCCGUUUGCAUGUACUUUAUGAAUAAGGAUCGGCUAACUCCGUGCCAGCAGCCGCGGUAAUACGGAGGAUCCGAGCGUUAUCCGGAUUUAUUGGGUUUAAAGGGAGCGUAGAUGGAUGUUUAAGUCAGUUGUGAAAGUUUGCGGCUCAACCGUAAAAUUGCAGUUGAUACUGGAUAUCUUGAGUGCAGUUGAGGCAGGCGGAAUUCGUGGUGUAGCGGUGAAAUGCUUAGAUAUCACGAAGAACUCCGAUUGCGAAGGCAGCCUGCUAAGCUGCAACUGACAUUGAGGCUCGAAAGUGUGGGUAUCAAACAGGAUUAGAUACCCUGGUAGUCCACACGGUAAACGAUGAAUACUCGCUGUUUGCGAUAUACAGCAAGCGGCCAAGCGAAAGCGUUAAGUAUUCCACCUGGGGAGUACGCCGGCAACGGUGAAACUCAAAGGAAUUGACGGGGGCCCGCACAAGCGGAGGAACAUGUGGUUUAAUUCGAUGAUACGCGAGGA